UAUCAUUAACUGAAUCCAUAGGUUAAUGAGGCGAACCGGGGGAACUGAAACAUCUAAGUACCCCGAGGAAAAGAAAUCAACCGAGAUUCCCCCAGUAGCGGCGAGCGAACGGGGAGGAGCCCAGAGCCUGAAUCAGCAUGUGUGUUAGUGGAAGCGUCUGGAAAGGCGCGCGAUACAGGGUGACAGCCCCGUACACAAAAGCGCAUGUGCUGUGAGCUCGAUGAGUAGGGCGGGACACGUGGUAUCCUGUCUGAAUAUGGGGGGACCAUCCUCCAAGGCUAAAUACUCCUGACUGACCGAUAGUGAACCAGUACCGUGAGGGAAAGGCGAAAAGAACCCCGGCGAGGGGAGUGAAAAAGAACCUGAAACCG
rnacentral:rRNA from 1 species